CUUCUUUAAAGAACGUCAGUCACUUGGAGAGCCUUCAGACUUGGACUGCUGUUUGAGAAGAUCUGCACACGUCUGGCGUACGGAAUUGUAAAACUCGGAGAAGAAGGGGUCACCACACAACAUGCUCCUCUGGCUGUUUUUGGCUGCUGUUCCCCAUGUAGCUGAUUUGAGUGACUGGGGAGCCGAAUACAAACCAAAGACGAUCUGCGCACUUGGAGGGUCAACUGUGAGGAUUAACUGCACAUACAAACAUCCAGCAGAUGUUAAUGUUACAAAGAAAAUGUGGCUUUUUGGUCAUAAGGAAAACGAGACAACUAAAGAUCAAAUAAUAGCAGAAUAUCCUAACAAUGGGCAGAGAGUACCCAA